UACCUGCUAGUUGCCAGCGGGUCAUGCCGGGGACUCUAGCGGAACUGCCAGCGUAAGCUGCGAGGAAGGUGGGGAUGACGUCAAAUCAGCACGGCCCUUACGUCCAGGGCUACACACGUGUUACAAUGGCCGGUACAGAGGGCAGCCACCCCGCGAGGGGGCGGCGAAUCCCGAAAGCCGGUCCCAGUUCGGAUCGGAGGUCUGCAACCCGACUGCAUGAAGUUGGAAUCGCUAGUAAUCGCGGAUCAGCCAAGCCGCGGUGAAUACGUUCCCGGGCCUU
rnacentral:rRNA from 1 species